GACGAACGCUGGCGGCGUGCCUAAUACAUGCAAGUAGAACGCAGUUGCGAACGGGUGAGUAACGCGUAGGUAACUGCCUGGUAGCGGGGGAUAACUAUUGGUAACGAUAGCUAAUACCGCAUACUACCAUAUGGACCUGCGUUGUAUUAGCAAGUUGGUGGGGUAACGGCCUACAAAGGCGACGAUACAUAGCCGACCUGAGAGGGUGAUCGGCCACACUGGAACUGAGACACGGCCCAGACUCCUACGGGAGGCAGCAGUAGGGAAGCUUGAACAAUGGGCGAAAGUCUGACCGAGCAACGCCGCGUGAAUGAAGAAGGUUUUCGGAUCGUAAAACUCUGUUGGUAGGGAAGCGGUAUCUAACCAGAAAGCCACGGCUAACUACGUGCCAGCAGCCGCGGUAAUAC
rnacentral:rRNA from 1 species